UUAAGUCGUGCCUGCCCAUGGUUUUUAAUGGCCGCGGUAUUUUGACCGUGCAAAGGUAGNAUAAACAUUAGUUUAUUAAUUGUAAGCUGGAAUGAAUGGUUUGACGAAAAAUAAGCUGUAUCAAGUUAAUUUAAUGAAUUUUAUUUUUGGGUUAAAAAGCUUAGAUAAAUUUAAAAGACGAGAAGACCCUAUAGAUUUUUAUAGAUUUAUAUAUAAAUUUUUAUUUAUAUAUAUAUUUAUUUUGUUGGGGUGAUGUGAAAAUUUAAUUAACUUUUCGUGUUUAUUUUAUUGAUUUGUAUUUUGUUGAUCCAAUUUUUUUGAUUAUAAGAUUAAAUUACCUUAGGGAUAACACCGUUAUUAAUUUUUUGAGUUCUUAUCAAAAAUUUAGUUUGCGACCUCGAUGUUGGAUUAAAAUUAAUUUAUAGUGCAGUAGUUAUAAUAUUAGGUCUGUCGA
rnacentral:rRNA from 1 species